rnacentral:tRNA from 1 species
GACAGCUUGGCCUAGUGGUUAAGGCGAUAGACUAGAAAUCUAUUGGGGUAACCCGCGUGAGUUCAAAUCUCACAGCUGUCG